GUGCCAGCCGCCGCGGUAAUACCGGCAGCCCGAGUGAUGGCCGAUAUUAUUGGGCCUAAAGCGUCCGUAGCCGGCCGGGCAAGUCCGUUGGGAAAUCCACGCGCUCAACGCGUGGGCGUCCAGCGGAAACUGUUCGGCUUGGGGCCGGAGGACUCGAGGGGUACGUCCGGGGUAGGAGUGAAAUCCCGUAAUCCUGGACGGACCACCGGUGGCGAAAGCGCCUCGAGAGGACGGACCCGACGGUGAGGGACGAAAGCCAGGGUCUCGAACCGGAUUAGAAACCCCUGUAGUCC
rnacentral:rRNA from 1 species